GCCCGCAAAUUGACACCGUAACUUCGGGAGAAGGUGUGCCGCUGGCGGUUAGUGACUUCGCGUCACGAAGCUGUCGGUGGUCGCAGUGAAAUGGCGGUUGUGACUGUUUACUAAAAACACAGGACUCUGCGAAGUCGUAAGACGACGUAUAGGGUCUGAUGCCUGCCCGGUGCUGGAAGGUUAAGGGGAUAUGUCAGCGCAAGCGAAGCAUUGAACCGAAGCCCCAGUAAACGGCGGCCGUAACUAUAACGGUCCUAAGGUAGCGAAAUUCCUUGUCGGGUAAGUUCCGACCUGCACGAGGGCAUAACAACAUCCGCACUGUCUCGACCAGGGACUCAGCGAAAUUACAUUGGGGGUGAAGAUGCCCUCUACCCGCGGAAAGACGGAAAGACCCCAUGAACCUUUACUGCAACUUGGCAGUGAUUUUCGGGUUGUUCUGCGUAGGAUAGGUGGGAGGCUUUGAAGCCGGGCUUCCGGGUUCGGCAGAGCCAACGUUGAAAUACCACCCUGAAUAAUCUGGAAAUCUAACCUGCGCCCAUGAUCUGGGCGAGGGACACUGCCUGGUGGGCAGUUUGACUGGGGCGGUCGCCUCCUAAAUUGUAACGGAGGCGUGCGACGGUUCCCUCAGGCUGAUUGGAAACCAGCCGUAAGUGCAAACGCAUAAGGGAGCUUUACUGCGAGACUGACAAGUCGAACAGUUGCGAUGCAGGUGUUAGUGAUCCGGUGGUACCACAUGGAAGGGCCAUCGCUCAUCGGAUAAAAGGUACUCUGGGGAUAACAGGCUGAUCGCGCCUGAGAGUUCACAUCGGCGGCGCGGUUUGGCACCUCGAUGUCGGCUCAUCGCAUCCUGGGGCUGGAGCAGGUCCCAAGGGUUUGGCUGUUCGCCAAUUAAAGCGGUACGCGAGCUGGGUUUAAAACGUCGUGAGACAGUUUGGUCCCUAUCUUCCGUGGGCGCAGGACACUUGAGAGGAGCUAUCCAUAGUACGAGAGGACCUGGAUGGACGAACCUCUGGUGCUCCGGUUGUCACGCCAGUGGCAUAGCCGGGUAGCCAUGUUCGGAACAGAUAACCGCUGAAGGCAUAUAAGCGGGAAGCUGGCCUCAAGACUAGGUGUCCCUGACGCAAGUCACUAAAGGCCCCUCGAAGACUACGAGGUUGAUAGGCUCGGUGUGGAAGCGCUGCGAGGCGUGGAGCUAACGAGUACUAAUAGGCCGUGCGACUUGACCUC
rnacentral:rRNA from 1 species